rnacentral:lncRNA from 1 species
UCAUGUGGUUGUGAUGGUUUUGUGGUGGGGAUGGGUAGUGUUUGUAGUCAAGUAUUGUGGUAGAAUGGGAUUGGGAUAGGGUUUGGUAAUGCGGUGGUGCGAUGGUGUGAUGUACGUGGCGAUUGGGUGAUGGUAAUUUUUGAUCAAGAUUGGUGCUGGAUUGGGCAAUGGUGAUAGGGGUGUUUGGAAUCUAUGACCAUCUAUUUCGGCGUCUAUGGCCAACUAUUUCAUUGAUUUGUGACUAAAAAUUAGGUUUAUAAUUAAAAAAUAAUUUAUGACCUAUGUGAUACAUAAAUAAAA